GGACGAAAGAUGCAAUAGAUAUACUUCCACAGCAGUUGGCACACGCACAGAAGACCAUAUAUCGGUUAACUCCAUUACAUUCGGACAUUCAAAUCUGUAUACUCAUGCUUUGGAGGUUGUAAAACUUGGUGAUGCAAACCAAAUUGCAUAUGAUUGUGCAAUGGAGCUUCUUAGAUCAGCAAUGUAUAAACUGAUCCCUUUAGCUUCUGAGCAUGACGGUCUGGGUUUAGAACACAAAAUUGAGUUCAACAAGCCAAAAGGUACAGAAUUGAGUGUGUUCGUGAACCACAAAAAGUAUGCGGGAGUGAUGCUGGAGGUAGUGCAGUUGGAAAUUUCAUUGGUUUAGCAGCUCCAGAACGCAAACAGAAGGCCGGUCGACCAACCAGCAGCAGAGACAAGCCUCAAUAUGAUGAUCUCGGUGCAAAGAGCAAAAAAAGUAAGUUUCUGGCACAUCUAGAUGCUGCAGUAUAUAUGUCGCGAACCAGGGCACAAGAGCACAACAUGUCCACAGCGGGGUGAGCUCCCUCAAAAGAAAAGGAAAAAAAGCCAAAUGCUCAAUAUGCGGAGUGGGAGGGCAUCGCAAGAACACCUGCAAGUCUGCAACAAUCCAAAGAUUGUUUACAUGUUCCUCAGAAAGCUACACAUGAACGACCUGUGGAAAUGUGAUUAAUCUGGUGUAUCACUGAACUUCCACCGUUUUUCCCUUGUAUGAUGAUUGCUCACAACCUAGUGGUGUGAAAUAAAUUAUGUAUUGUCAGCUUAGGAAUUGUGACAAUGUUUCCUCUUGUAUAUGUCUAAAACCUUUGACUUGGAUUAAUCUGGUUUAUCACUGAAUUUCCACUGUUUUUCCCUUGUAUGAUGAGUGCUCAGUAUCCAGCUGUGUGAAAUAAAUUAUGUAUUGUCAACUUAGAAAUUGUGACAAUAUUUCCUCUUGUAUCUGUCCAAAACCUUUGACUUAUGUGGCUAUGUGUUGCUUAAAACUAACCUCCGUGCAUUACUGGGUAAUUAAGAUCUCAUGUUAUUUGUGUGUGCUGCUGAUGACAUGUUCUACUAUUGGUGAUCAGAUUGAUUUUCGUCUCUUAUUUCCUAUUAAUUUUUCAUCUUCUUUUUUAUGAUAUCUUCCAGAAUUGGCCAUCAAAGUGUUAUCUAUGUGUGCUGCUACUUGCCAACAGACACCACCAAAUUGAUGGAUGCAGGGUCGAGGGCGAUGGUUGCCUGAUGCUGAGCAACAGCCGCCACAGCGAGGGAAGAUCCUGCAGCUUCGCUUGCCGCCGAUGCCAAAUGCGAGGCUUCCGGUGCACCGUUCUGCUGCCCCACGCCCCCACCCCACCAUGCAUCCGCCGCCUGCAUCUGACAACCUUGAUUUGGUGCUGCGAUUUCCUGCUGACCUUGAUUGAUUUGCGCUACCGGAGGUGCCGCCGUCCAAGCAUAGCCAGGUGUUCCGCGUAGGCUUCCUGCCACAUGUAGAAAUCACAUCCACCUCUCCCCGGCUGCCACGGAUUGAAGAAUACGACUAAGAUAUCGAAUCCACAAAAAAAAAAA
rnacentral:lncRNA from 1 species